rnacentral:misc_RNA from 1 species
GAUGAAGAACGCAGCGAAAUGCGAUAAGUAGUGUGAAUUGCAGAAUUCAGUGAAUCAUCGAAUCUUUGAACGCACAUUGCGCCCCUUGGUAUUCCAUGGGGCAUGCCUGUUCGAGCGUCAUUUGUACCUUCAAGCUUUGCUUGGUGUUGGGUGUUUGUCUCGCCUUUGCGUGUAGACUCGCCUUAAAAUAAUUGGCAGCCGGCGUAUUGAUUUCGGAGCGCAGUACAUCUCGCGCUUUGCACUCAUAACGACAGCGUCCAAAAGUACAUUUUACACUCUUGACCUCGGAUCAGGUAGGGACACCCGCUGAACUUAAGCAUAUCAAUAAGCGGAGGA